rnacentral:rRNA from 1 species
CCUACGGGAGGCAGCAGUGAGGAAUAUUGGUCAAUGGGCGGAAGCCUGAACCAGCCAAGUAGCGUGCGGGAUGAAGGCCCUACGGGUCGUAAACCGCUUUUGUACGGGGAUAACACCCUCCACUUGUGGUGGUCUGCAGGUACCGUGCGAAUAAGGGCCGGCUAAUUCCGUGCCAGCAGCCGCGGUAAUACGGAAGGCCCGAGCGUUAUCCGGAUUUAUUGGGGUUAAAGGGAGCGUAGGCGGGCGUUCAAGUCAGCUGUAAAAUCGCGGGGCUCAACCGCGCCCCGCCGUUGAAACUGGGGGCCUUGAGUUGACGACAGGCAGGCGGAAUGCGUGGUGUAGCGGUGAAAUGCAUAGAUAUCACGAGGAACCCCGAUUGCGAAGGCAGCCUGCCGGGGUGCGACUGACGCUGAGGCUCGAAGGUGCGGGUAUCGAACAGGAUUAGAUACCCGUGUAGUC